UACGGGGGGGGCAAGCGUUGUUCGGAAUUACUGGGCGUAAAGGGCUCGUAGGCGGCCAACUAAGUCAGACGUGAAAUCCCCAGGCUCAACUUGGGAAUUGCGCUCGAAACUACGUGGCUCGAGUGUGGCAGAGGAAGGUGGAAUUCCACGUGUAGCGGUGAAAUGCGUAGAGAUGUGGAGGAACACCUAUGGCGAAGGCAGCCUUCUGGGCCAACACUGACGCUCAUGCACGAAAGCGUGGGGAGCAAACAGG
rnacentral:rRNA from 1 species